rnacentral:rRNA from 1 species
GCUUGUCUCAAAGAUUAAGCCAUGCAUGUCUCAGUACAAGCCAAAUUAAGGUGAAACCGCGAAAGGCUCAUUAAAUCAGUUAUGGUUCCUUAGAUCGUACCACAAUUACUUGGAUAACUGUGGUAAUUCUAGAGCUAAUACAUGCAAACAGAGCUCCGACCGGAGACGGAAGGAGUGCUUUUAUUAGAUCAAAACCAAUCGGUGGCGGGCUCGUCAUCGUACAACUUGGUGACUCUGAAUAACUUUACGCUGAUCGCACGGUCAUCGCACCGGCGACGCAUCUUUCAAAUGUCUGCCUUAUCAACUGUCGAUGGUAGGUUCUGCGCCUACCAUGGUCGUAACGGGUAACGGGGAAUCAGGGUUCGAUUCCGGAGAGGGAGCCUGAGAAACGGCUACCACAUCCAAGGAAGGCAGCAGGCGCGCAAAUUACCCACUCCCGGCACGGGGAGGUAGUGACGAAAAAUAACGAUACGGGACUCAUCCGAGGCCCCGUAAUCGGAAUGAGUACACUCUAAACCCUUUAACGAGGAUCAAUUGGAGGGCAAGUCUGGUGCCAGCAGCCGCGGUA